GACGUAGGGCGCGAGCGUUGUCCGGAUUUAUUGGGCGUAAAGAGCUCGUAGGCGGCCAACUAAGUCCGACGUGAAAUCCCCAGGCUUAACCUGGGAACUGCAUCCGAUACUGGAUGGCUUGAAUCCGGGAGAGGGAUGCAGAAUUCCAGGUGUAGCGGUGAAAUGCGUAGAUAUCUGGAGGAAUACCGGUGGCGAAGGCGGCAUCCUGGACCGGCAUUGACGCUGAGUGAGCGAAAGCCAGGGGAGCAAACGGG
rnacentral:rRNA from 1 species